UCAGACACAGGUGCUGCAUGGCUGUCGUCAGCUCGUGUCGUGAGAAGUUGGGUUAAGUCCCGUAACGAGCGCAACCCUUGUCCUUAGUUACCAGCACCUCGGGUGGGCACUCUAAGGAGACUGCCGGUGACAAACCGGAGGAAGGUGGGGAUGACGUCAAGUCAUCAUGGCCCUUACGGCCAGGGCUACACACGUGCUACAAUGGUCGGUACAAAGGGUUGCCAAGCCGCGAGGUGGAGCUAAUCCCAUAAAACCGAUCGUAGUCCGGAUCGCAGUCUGCAACUCGACUGCGUGAAGUCGGAAUCGCUAGUAAUCGUGAAUCAGAAUGUCACGGUGAAUACGUUCCCGGGCCUUGUACACACCGCCCGUCACACCAUGGGAGUGGGUUGCUCCAGAAGUAGCUAGUCUAACCGCAAGGGGGACGGUACCUUGUAGUU
rnacentral:rRNA from 1 species